rnacentral:piRNA from 1 species
UAGCAAAACCAGUGAGCCUCUGCAG